AACGAACGCUGGCGGCAUGCCUAACACAUGCAAGUCGAACGAGACCUUCGGGUCUAGUGGCGCACGGGUGCGUAACGCGGGGGAACCUGCCCUUAGGUUCGGAAUAACUCCCCGAAAGGGGUGCUAAUACCGGAUAAUGUCUUCGGACCAAAGAUUUAUCGCCUUUGGAUGGGCCCGCGUUGGAUUAGCUAGUUGGUAGGGUAAAAGCCUACCAAGGCGACGAUCCAUAGCUGGUCUGAGAGGAUGAUCAGCUACACUGGGACUGAGACACGGCCCAGACUCCUACGGGAGGCAGCAGUGGGGAAUAUUGGACAAUGGGCGCAAGCCUGAUCCAGCAAUGCCGCGUGAGUGAUGAAGGCCUUAGGGUUGUAAAGCUCUUUUAGCCGGGAUGAUAAUGACAGUACCGGGAGAAUAAGCACCGGCUAACUACGUG
rnacentral:rRNA from 1 species